rnacentral:lncRNA from 1 species
CGCCGGGCGGUGGCGAUUGCCGCCGGGCGGUGGCGGCAGGUUGUGGCAAACCGCUGGGCAGCACACUCAAACCACCCGGCGGUAGCACGCUGGACUUGGGCCUGAUUUUGACGAGCUCAUCACCUAUAAAUACCCCUACUACGAAUUCAGAGUCAUUCUUUUGACAGGGGAAGACGACCAUACCUAAUUUUGCUCUCUAGAGAGGAUAUCUUGGAUUCUUAGGCUCCUUUUCAUCUUUUCUAGGGUUUGCUCUUUCA